UACGGGGGAUGCGAGCGUUAUCCGGAUUUAUUGGGUUUAAAGGGUGCGCAGGCGGCCUGUUAAGUCAGCGGUAAAAGCCCGGGGCUCAACCCCGGCGAGCCGUUGAAACUGGCGGGCUGGAGUUGGAGAGAAGUACGCGGAAUGCGCGGUGUAGCGGUGAAAUGCUUAGAUAUCGCGCAGAACCCCGAUUGCGAAGGCAGCAUGCCGGCUUCCGACUGACGCUGAAGCACGAAAGCGUGGGGAUCGAACAGG
rnacentral:rRNA from 1 species